rnacentral:rRNA from 1 species
GGAGUCUGGACCGUUUCUCAGUUCCAAUGUGGCCGUUCAACCUCUCAGUUCGGCUAAUGAUCGUUGAUUUGGUGGGCCGUUACCCCGCCAACUGUCUAAUCAUACGCGAGCUCAUCCUGCAUCAAUAAAUCUUUGACAUCAGAAUCAUGCGGUUCCGAUGCGUUAUGCGGUAUUAGCACAGGUUUCCCUGUGUUAUCCCCCAAUGCAGGGCAGAUUGCUCACGCGUUACUCACCCGUCCGCCACUGUUCCGCCCCCGAAGGGACUUCACCGUUCGACUUGAAUGUGUUAUGCACGCCGCCAGCGUUCAUC